rnacentral:rRNA from 1 species
UACGUAGGGCGCAAGCGUUAUCCGGAAUUAUUGGGCGUAAAGAGCUCGUAGGCGGUUUGUCGCGUCUGCCGUGAAACCCCGGGGCUCAACCCCGGAACUGCAUCCGAUACUGCGUGGCUAGAGGUAGGUAGGGGAGAUCGGAAUUCCUGGUGUAGCGGUGAAAUGCGCAGAUAUCAGGAGGAACACCGGUGGCGAAGGCGGAUCUCUGGGCCUUACCUGACGCUCAGGCACGAAAGCUAGGGGAGCGAACAGG